rnacentral:rRNA from 1 species
CCUACGGGGGGCAGCAGUAGGGAAUAUUGCUCAAUGGGGGAAACCCUGAAGCAGCAACGCCGCGUGGAGGAUGAAGGUUUUCGGAUUGUAAACUCCUUUUGUUAGAGAAGAUAAUGACGGUAUCUAACGAAUAAGCACCGGCUAACUCCGUGCCAGCAGCCGCGGUACUACGGGGGGUGCAAGCGUUACUCGGAAUCACUGGGCGUAAAGAGCGCGUAGGCGGGAUAGCAAGUCAGAUGUGAAAUCCUUUGGCUUAACCAUAGAACUGCAUUUGAAACUGUUAGUCUAGAGUAUGGGAGAGGUAGGUGGAAUGCGUGGUGUAGGGGUAAAAUCCGUAGAGAUCAAGAGGAAUACUCAUUGCGAAGGCGACCUGCUAGAACAUAACUGACGCUGAGGCGCGAAAGCGUGGGGAGCAAACAGGAUUAGAUACCCUUGUAGUC